GUAGCAAUAUGACUGGACAAAAGGCAAUGAUCUAAUGCAAAUAGACCGAGUGGGGACAUCCAGCAAGGCCUGUCUGUCUGCAUUUCUUCUUGGUCCCUCUGAGCAUGCAUUUCUUCCUUCCGAGUGUGGACAUGGGUCAGGGCUCUCUGGAAUGGGGUCUUCUGACCUGCAAUCAAACAAGUCGCUUGGCUGCUCCACUAGGCUCCGAGGGCACAAACCCCUGAGACGGUGUCCAGGCCCAGGGCCCUGUAGACUCUGCGGAUCCUGAAACCAGCGCCAGCCAUCCUGCAGCACUGGGGACAGACAGAGCAGGUAAGGAGGGAAAGAAGGUAGGAGUGGGCAGGGGCAGCACGGACAGCACGGACAAGGCCCAAGAUCAGAGAUUUAGGCACGGCCGGGGCUAGCUUAGAAAAGGUACUGCCGGCCAGGUGCGGUGGCUCACGCCUGUAAUCACAGCACUUUGAGAGACUGAGGUGGGUGAAUCACAAAGUCAGGAGCUCAAGACCAGCCUGGCCAACAUGGUGAAAACCUGUCUCUACUAAAAAUACAAAAAUUAGCCAGACGUGGUGGUGGGCACCUGUAAUCCCAGCUACUUGGGAGGUUGAGGCAGGAGAAUCGCUUGAACCUGGGAGGCAGAAGUUGCAGUGAGCUGAGACCACGCCACUGCACUCCAGCCUGGGCAACAGAGCAAGACUCCAUCUCAAAACAAAACAAAACAAAAAAACAAAAAGAAAGAAAGAAAGAAAAGGACAGGUACUGCCUAAAACUUUUAAGAGGAGAGACACAAACUUCACAGCCAGACAGGGGAGUAGGGAGCAAAAUGAAGAGCAGGAGAGAGAAACAAAAAGGAAAUGAUUGAGAGAGUGAUAGAAACACAGACGGAGAAAGAACGGACAGAAGGAAAGGAGGGAGACUGAGUCAGACAGAGGGUGAAACAGAGAGUGGCAUAUGAGGGACAGGCAGAGACUGAUGGGCUGAGGCAGAAAGGCAGAUGGGAGGACAACCAGACAGAAAGAGAGAAAGAAGCCAGGAGCAGAUAUUGACAGACAGACCCGGCAGUGGGCAGGGGUUCCGCUGAGUCCGCACCGACAGGAUGUUGAGAGGUGUGUCCCAGCCAUAGAAUAAAAUGCAGUCCGAGCUCUAGGAAGGAAUGUUC
rnacentral:lncRNA from 13 species